GACGAAGGAUCCAAGCGUUAUCCGGAUUCAUUGGGUUUAAAGGGUCCGUAGGCGGUUUUGUAAGUCAGUGGUGAAAGCCCAUCGCUCAACGGUGGAACGGCCAUUGAUACUGCAAGACUUGAAUUAUUAGGAAGUAACUAGAAUAUGUAGUGUAGCGGUGAAAUGCUUAGAUAUUACAUGGAAUACCAAUUGCGAAGGCAGGUUACUACUAAUGGAUUGACGCUGAUGGACGAAAGCGUGGGGAGCGAACAGG
rnacentral:rRNA from 1 species